rnacentral:rRNA from 1 species
UACGGGGGGGGGCAAGCGUUGUUCGGAAUUACUGGGCGUAAAGAGCGUGUAGGCGGUCCGGUAAGUCGGCUGUGAAAUCCCCCAGGCUUAACCUGGGAACUGCAUCCGAUACUGGAUGGCUUGAAUCCGGGAGAGGGAUGCAGAAUUCCAGGUGUAGCGGUGAAAUGCGUAGAUAUCUGGAGGAAUACCGGUGGCGAAGGCGGCAUCCUGGACCGGCAUUGACGCUGAGGAGCGAAAGCUAGGGGAGCAAACGGG